CGGAAAAUUUUUUUGACUAUGCUUAUGUUCGGGACCAUUAAUUAUUUAUGACCGGGGAUGGGCUGGCAAAAAAAGUGGGGUGGGUUAUGAGAUAUUUUUUACCAAAAAGGGGGGGGGGCACGUAAAGAUAUUAGUUCAGAAGCGGAGGUCCAGUUAUUUUAUUAUAUAUAGUGGGGGGAAAUUUGACAUGUAACGAUUAUUGCUACAGCAGAGAGCGAGCAAGGCAGCAAAUUUAAUUCAUGUACCUAGCAAAAUUCUCAAUUUUAAUCAACACUGAUAGAUCGAAAAUGCAAUGCGCAAAUACCCAAAAUGCAAUGCGUGCUGCUAAUAUGAAAAACAAUGGAACAUCUACCUUAUAACUUUUGCCAUGAACUUGCCA